UCUCCGUUGGUGAACCUGCGGAAGGAUCAUUAUUGUAUAACCGAGAUGCGAGGGCUGUCGCUGACCCGAAAGGUCGUGCACGCCCGAGUGCCCUCACACACAUCCAUCUCACCCCUAUGUGCACCACCGCGUGGGUCCCCCUUUGGCUUGUUCGGAGGGGGGCUUACGUUUUCACACAAACUUCGUAUGCAGUGUAGAAUGUAUUUUUUGUUUUUGCGAUCACGCAAUCAAUACAACUUUCAACAACGGAUCUCUUGGCUCUC
rnacentral:misc_RNA from 1 species